UGGCCAUAUAUCAUUGAAACAUCAGUUCCCAUAUGAUCACUGAAGUUAAGCAACAUCAAACCUGGUCAAUACCUAGAUGGGUGACUACUGAGGAAUACCAGGUGUUGUAAG